UACGAAGGGUGCAAACGUUGCUCGGAAUUAUUGGGCGUAAAGCGCACGUAGGCGGCUUGGCAAGUCGGAUGUGAAAUCCCCGGGCUCAACCUGGGAAUUGCGAUGGAGACUGCAAGGCUAGAAUCUGGCAGAGGGGGGUAGAAUUCCACGUGUAGCAGUGAAAUGCGUAGAGAUGUGGAGGAACACCGAUGGCCGAAGGCAGCCCCCUGGGUCAAGAUUGACGCUCAUGCACGAAAGCGUGGGGAGCAAACAGG
rnacentral:rRNA from 1 species